rnacentral:lncRNA from 1 species
UUUACCCUUCCUUUGGCUUUUAUAUAUAAGAAUGAUUUUUCAAUUACAUUUCUACCUUUACAGCAGGACUAUCACCCAAAGAUUGAAAUAAUUUCUGAAGUGACAAAUGACAGCAAUUCUGCAUUAGAGGAAAACAAUACAAGCAUGACUGAGAAUUCAGUAGAAGAAGUUCCAACAGCAAUUUUUUCAAAUGUAUGUCAGAACCAUAAAGAGCAUGAAAAGGAGCACUUAAGACCCCUUCUCAAAAGCUUAUUUACAGAGCCUGAGAAUUCAGAAGGAUACAUGGAGAUCAAAGAUAAAGAGGUAGCCCCUUUGAAACCCUUGAUAGAAGAGGUAAUCACUGAGCCCAAGGAUCAUCUGCUGCUGUCACCAGUCUGUCACCAACCAGAUGACCCCAGCUCAUGGGAAGGGGAUGAGAAUGGCAGUGAUAGAGAAGCACAGGGCCUGGCUGAGGGGGAAGGAUGUUCUCAUAAAGCACAAGGUGACAAGGAUGAUGAGAGUGGAUUGGAUUAAUCACUUGGAAAAACCAGACCAAAUCUGGAGCACAGUGUGGAAAUAUUCCCAAAGUAUGGAGGCUGGCAAUGGGACCAUUUGUUAAAACUGAUGUAACACUGUCAUACCAAAACUCCCGGCCCUUGGCUCCAGCUCCUCAGGGCAGCUGCCUGGUCACUACUUUGAAAAUUACUGUUUUGAGGUUAUAUUCCAGUCUUGUGUUAUUUUUGCCUUUGCAUCCUUCUAGAAAUGCCUUAGUUACAUGUUUAUAUGUCAGAGUUUCAUUACAGAUGUAGUUUCAAGCAUAAUUCAGUGUGUCAUUUGACUAAAUAAAAAUUCUAUUUGUAACCACAUGUAUUUUCACUUGGUGUUUUAUAUUUUAAGUCCAUACCAGUGUGCAUCAUAUCAGAUGGACUCUAAUGGCAAAUGAGAUUGCUUCUUGAUGGAAUAUUUUACUGAUCUAAUAUUUCUUAUGAUUGUUUAUGCCUAAAAAGACGCAGAAAUAGCAUCCAUGCACAGAAAAUCUGGUUUUACCUUUUAGGGCAUCUGUAAUGAAACAUACACUUAUAUCUGCUCCUUUUAUUGUUUUUCACUGAGAUGUGUCUCAGGAUCUGUGUUUUGAGUAUAUAGAAGUUUAGGUGAAUGUCUUUUUUCGUAUUUCUAUACAUCUGUGAUAAUUUGUAAUAAAUAAAAUUUAACAGUUCUUCUAGGUGUGCACAUUUAAAGAAAUAAAGUAUCACUGUGG